ACGAACGCUGGCGGCGUGCCUAAUACAUGCAAGUUGAGCGCUGAAGGUUGGUACUUGUACCCACUGGAUGAGCAGCGAACGGGUGAGUAACGCGUGGGGAAUCUGCCUUUGAGCGGGGGACAACAUUUGGAAACGAAUGCUAAUACCGCAUAAAAACUUUAAACACAAGUUUUAAGUUUGAAAGAUGCAAUUGCAUCACUCAAAGAUGAUCCCGCGUUGUAUUAGCUAGUUGGUGAGGUAAAGGCUCACCAAGGCGAUGAUACAUAGCCGACCUGAGAGGGUGAUCGGCCACAUUGGGACGGAGACACGGCCCAAACUCCUACGGGAGGCAGCAGUAGGGAAUCUUCGGCAAUGGACGAAAGUCUGACCGAGCAACGCCGCGUGAGUGAAGAAGGUUGUCGGAUCGUAAAACUCUGUUGGUAGAGAAGAACGUUGGUGAGAGCGGAAAGCUCAUCAAGUGACGGUAACUACCCAGAAAGGGACGGCUAACUACGUG
rnacentral:rRNA from 1 species